UACGUAGGGGGCAAGCGUUGUCCGGAUUUAUUGGGCGUAAAGAGCGUGUAGGCGGCCAUGCAGGUCCGUUGUGAAAACUCGAGGCUCAACCUCGAGACGUCGGUUGAAACCGUAUGGCUAGAGUCCGGAAGAGGAGAGUGGAAUUCCCGGUGUAGCGGUGAAAUGCGCAGAUAUCGGGAAGAACACCUAUGGCGAAGGCAGCUCUCUGGGACGGUACUGACGCUGAGACGCGAAGGCGUGGGGAGCAAACAGG
rnacentral:rRNA from 1 species